rnacentral:rRNA from 1 species
UACGUGAGGGUGCGAGCGUUAAUCGGAAUUACUGGGCGUAAAGCGUGCGCAGGCGGUCUGUUAAGACCGAUGUGAAAUCCCCGGGCUUAACCUGGGAACUGCAUUGGUGACUGCAGGCUUUGAGUGUGGCAGAGGGAGGUAAUCGAAUUCCACGUGUAGCAGAUGAAUGCGUAGAGAUGUGGAGGAAUACCGAUGGCGAAGGCAGCCUCCUGGGCCAACACUGACGCUCAUGCACGAAAGCGUGGGGAGCAAACAGG